UGGCCUCAAAUCAGGUAGGACUACCCGCUGAACUUAAGCAUAUCAAUAAGCGGAGGAAAAGAAACUAACAAGGAUUCCCCUAGUAACUGCGAGUGAAGCGGGAAAAGCUCAAAUUUAAAAUCUGGCAGUCUCUGAUUGUCCGAGUUGUAAUCUAGAGAAGUGUUACCCGCGUUGGACCGUGUAUAAGUCUCCUGGAAUGGAGCGUCAUAGAGGGUGAGAAUCCCGUCUUUAACACGGACUACCAAGGCUUUGUGGUGCGCUCUCAAAGAGUCGAGUUGUUUGGGAAUGCAGCUCAAAAUGGGUGGUAAAUGCCAUCUAAAGCUAAAUACAGGCGAGAGACCGAUAGCGAACAAGUACCGUGAGGGAAAGAUGAAAAGAACUUUGGAAAGAGAGUUAAACAGUACGUGAAAUUGCUGAAAGGGAAACGCUUGAAGUCAGUCGCGUUGGCUGGGAAUCAACCUUGCUUUUGCUUUGGUGUACUUUCCAGUCGACGGGUCAACAUCAAUUUUGAUCGGUGGAUAAGGUCGUGAGGAAUGUGGCAUCUUCGGAUGUGUUAUAGCCUUGUGUCAUAUACAUUGAUUGGGAUUGAGGAACUCAGCACGCCGAAAGGCCAGGUUUCGACCAUGUUCGUGCUUAGGAUGUUGGCAAA
rnacentral:rRNA from 1 species